GGGAGUAUCUCAACAGGCUUCUCUCUAGCGAGGGAGUGUCUGGUUCUCGAACAACAUUGGCCUUGUCAGCCAAUUAGUUCAUAUUAGUGGGAAUUUAUUUACACGGAGAGGAAUUAUGGAAAUGUACAACUUUGAGGUUUGGACGUCACUCUACAGAUGAACCCUCUAUCCUGACACCUCUGGAGCAGUGCUGCAGGAUCUGUCACUCUACCCUCCUGUGUCUGUCUGUGUCUCCUCUCCCUGCCCCAGUACAGUCUGUGAUGUCAUGAGGGACUCUCUUUUUCAUGAUCCUCUAUACCCUGGACCGUCUCCUAGCGACCGUGCUCAGAACCUUUGAGCCGUUGCCAGGAUCAACAGUGUAGCCUCCAUGGACGAGGCGAGGAUUAUGUCACUCAUUAUAAGACCUUGGUUACACCUGUGACACAUGCAGGGUAGUCUCUUAGAAAACACGAUUCCAAAUGGGUUCUUCAGCUGUCCCCAUAGGAGAACUCUUUUGGGUUCCAGUUGUGUUAAGGUAGGGAUGGUAUACAGAACAUAGCCCUAUUUGGUAAAAUACCAAGUCCAUAUUAAGGCAAGAACAGCUCAAAUAAGCAAAGAGAAACGACAGUCCAUCAUUACUUUAAGACAUGAAGUUCAGUCAAUCCGGAAAAUGCCAAGAACUAUGAAAGUUUCUGCAGGUGCAGUCGCAAAAACUAUCAAGCGCUAUGAUGAAACUGGCUCACAUCAGGACCCCCACAGGAAAGGAAGACCCAAAGUUACCUUUGCUGCAGAGGGUAAGUUCAUUAGAGUUAACUGCACCUCAGAUUGCCACCCAAAUACAUGCUUUGGCGAGUUCAACUAACAGACAAAUCUUAACGUAAACAGUUCAGAGGAGACUGCGUGAAUCAGGCCUUCAUUGUCGAAUUGCUACAAAGAAACCACUACUAAAGGACACCAAUAAGAAGAGGAGACUUGCUUGGGCCAAGAAACACGAGCAAUGGACAUUAGACCGUUGGAAAUUUGUCCUUUGGUCUGAUGAGUCCACAUUUGAGAUGUUUGGUUCCAACCGCCGUGUCUUUGUGAGACACAGUUGGUGAACAGAUGAUCUCCCCAUGUGUGGUUCCCAACAUGAAGCAUGGAGGAGGUGGUGUGGGGGUGCUUUCCUGGCGACACUGUCGGUAAUUUAUUUAGAAUUCAAGGUACACUUAACCAGCAUGGCUACCACAGCAUUCUGCAGCAAUACGCCAUGCCAUCUGGUUUGUGCUUAGUGGGACUAUCAUUUGUUUUUCAACAGGACAAUGACCCAACACACCUCCAGGUGGUAUCAGGGCUAUUUGACCAAUAAGAAGAGUGAUGGAGUGCUGCAUCAGAUGACCAGGCCUCUACAAUCACCCAACCUCAACCCAAUUGAGAUGGUUUGGGAGCUGGACCGCAGAGUGAAGGAAAAUCAGCCAACAGGUGCUCAGCAUAUAUAGGAAUCCUUCAAAACUGUUGGCAUUCUCUCAACCAUCUUCAUGAGGAAUGAAUCACUCUGUCAUUCCUCAUGAAGCUGGUUGAGAGAAUGCCAAGAGUGUGCAAAGCAGUCUUUAAGGCAAAGGGUGGCUACUUUGAAGAAUCAAAAAUAUACUUUGAUUUGUUUAACACUUUUUUGCUCACUACAUGAUUCCAUGUGUUUUCAUAGUUAUGUAUUCACUACUAUUCCACAAUGUAGAAAAAAAUAGUUUUUU